rnacentral:rRNA from 1 species
AUUGAACGCUGGCGGCAUGGCUAAAACAUGCAAGUCGAGCGCGAAAGGGAGCAAUCCCGAGUAGAGCGGCGAAAGGGUGAGUAAUAGGUUUCUACGUGCCUCAAGGUCGAGGAUAGCCAGGGGAAACUCUGGGUAAUACUCGAUGUGAUCGAGAGAUCAAAGGCUUGCCGCCUUGAGAGCGGGGAACCUCCUAUCAGGUAGUUGGUGAGGUAACGGCUCACCAAGCCUAUGACGGGUAGCGGGUGUGAGAGCAUGGCCCGCCACAUCGAAACUGAGACACUGUUCGGACUCCUACGGGAGGCUGCAGUAACGAAUCUUCCGCAAUGCGCGAAAGCGUGACGGAGCAAUGCCGCGUGCAGGGUGAAGCCCCUCGGGGUGUAAACUGCUGUCAGGGAUUAGGAAGCAACUGACCAAUCCCAAAGGAAGAGACGACUAACUCUGUGCCAGCAGUCGCGGUAAUACAGAGGUCUCGAGCGUUAGUCGGUA